rnacentral:misc_RNA from 1 species
UGGACUUCACUCCUCUUGUGCUCAAGACCGCAAGCAGCUAAGAUGGUAUGUGUGGAACUCCUAGCAAUGUCCUUGAAAUUUUCAUGGCCUAAUUCAGUGUCCUGAGACAAGCUUUUCAAAUGGCUUUUAACCAUUGAUUGCAAUUGCUCCUUUACUGCAUAGAAUUGACUCUCUUCUCUAGCUCUGUGAGGUGGCAAAUUAACUUCAAAUGCAAUGCCCGGUCUGCUGUUGCACUGAUGGAAUUGCUCAUGGCCAGACGCAGAGUUGAUCCCCGUGAGUUCAGGCCAUAAUGUUAAAUUGACAGACCUCUCAGUAAUUGUAAUAGUUGGAUCCUGAACUGCUUGUGUUCUCAGUUGGCUUGAUGUCAUAGAAAAAAUGUCUCUAUUAUGCAGUGAAGAAGAGGGAUGGUCUUGUAAUCUCACAUCAUGGAAUGCACUUUGUGAUGUCCCCAUUUCUUGUGACCUUGAAUUUUGAACAAAGGACUCCCUAAAUUGAUCAAUUGGAGGGUUUGAAAGGUCAUUAUGCAAGUUGGCAGGUGAAAUGCCAUCAGCUCUGCUAGCCAUAUUAUUCAUUCUGUGAGUAGAAAGGAGAUUUUGUAUAUGGCGGUGUAUCUGGCGUCUCGCUGACAGAGUUACUGCCCCUGCUCCAGAUACUGGAGAAGCUGCCUGAACAUCUCCCGUGGGAAAUCUUCGAGACGAAAGAUUCCCAACUCCUUGAGAGAAUGCCAGACGAGGUGAAGGCUCUGAAGUGGGGUCUAAAUCUUCACGAUUAUUUGCAACAGGAGAUGGUCGGUUGAACAUGCUGCUUGUUGUCGUUUGAUCAGGCAAAGGCUCCUGAGCUUGAGAGCUUGAGGAUCCCAGAGCAACAGGUCGACAGCCAUCACAAUACC